UAAUCGUUUUAAUCGAUGGGGGGACGCAGUAGGAUAGGCGAAGCGUGCGAUUGGAUUGCACGUCUAAGCAGUAAGGCUGAGUAUUAGGCAAAUCCGGUACUCGUUAAGGCUGAGCUGUGAUGGGGAGAAGACAUUGUGUCUUCGAGUCGUUGAUUUCACACUGCCGAGAAAAGCCUCUAGAUAGAAAAUAGGUGCCCGUACCGCAAACCGACACAGGUAGUCAAGAUGAGAAUUCUAAGGUGAGCGAGCGAACUCUCGUUAAGGAACUCGGCAAAAUGACCCCGUAACUUCGGGAGAAGGGGUGCUCUUUAGGGUUAACGCCCAGAAGAGCCGCAGUGAAUAGGCCCAAGCGACUGUUUAUCAAAAACACAGGUCUCUGCUAAACCGUAAGGUGAUGUAUAGGGGCUGACGCCUGCCCGGUGCUGGAAGGUUAAGAGGAGUGGUUAGCUUCUGCGAAGCUACGAAUCGAAGCCCCAGUAAACGGCGGCCGUAACUAUAACGGUCCUAAGGUAGCGAAAUUCCUUGUCGGGUAAGUUCCGACCCGCACGAAAGGCGUAACGAUUUGGGCACUGUCUCAACGAGAGACUCGGUGAAAUCAUAGUACCUGUGAAGAUGCAGGUUACCCGCGACAGGACGGAAAGACCCCGUGGAGCUUUACUGUAGCCUGAUAUUGAAAUUCGGCACAGCUUGUACAGGAUAGGUAGGAGCCUUUGAAACGUGAGCGCUAGCUUACGUGGAGGCGCUGGUGGGAUACUACCCUAGCUGUGUUGGCUUUCUAACCCGCACCACUUAUCGUGGUGGGAGACAGUGUCAGGCGGGCAGUUUGACUGGGGCGGUCGCCUCCUAAAAGGUAACGGAGGCGCUCAAAGGUUCCCUCAGAAUGGUUGGAAAUCAUUCAUAGAGUGUAAAGGCAUAAGGGAGCUUGACUGCGAGACCUACAAGUCGAGCAGGGUCGAAAGACGGACUUAGUGAUCCGGUGGUUCCGCAUGGAAGGGCCAUCGCUCAACGGAUAAAAGCUACCCCGGGGAUAACAGGCUUAUCUCCCCCAAGAGUUCACAUCGACGGGGAGGUUUGGCACCUCGAUGUCGGCUCAUCGCAUCCUGGGGCUGUAGUCGGUCCCAAGGGUUGGGCUGUUCGCCCAUUAAAGCGGUACGCGAGCUGGGUUCAGAACGUCGUGAGACAGUUCGGUCCCUAUCCGUCGUGGGCGUAGGAAAUUUGAGAGGAGCUGUCCUUAGUACGAGAGGACCGGGAUGGACAUACCUCUGGUGUACCAGUUGUCGUGCCAACGGCAUAGCUGGGUAGCUAUGUGUGGACGGGAUAAGUGCUGAAAGCAUCUAAGCAUGAAGCCCCCCUCAAGAUGAGAUUUCCCAACUUCGGUUAUAAGAUCCCUCAAAGAUGAUGAGGUUAAUAGGUUCGAGGUGGAAGCAUGGUGACAUGUGGAGCUGACGAAUACUAAUCGAUCGAAGACUUAAUCAA
rnacentral:rRNA from 1 species